rnacentral:lncRNA from 1 species
UUCGAGACUAGAUGAAAAUUGGUCAGAUAGUAAAAAGAAACUCAAUAAAGAAUUCUAUACGACAGAAUCAUCAGAAUCAACUCAUUACAAAAAAAAUCGCAGUACAGAAACUUCACAAGAUGAAACAAUAAAUACGCAGUCUUCGGAAAGUUUAGAGAAAAGCACUUUAUCGAGCGUCGAAUCAAACAGAACAAACAGCCCUAAGCAAGUUGCAAACAUGAAUGUGUCUUCUUCAGAUAUAUCAGUCGAAUCGCCUCCAAUUUUUAUCAGAAAAGAACAAUGGCCUGAUAUAAAAUGUAGGAUGAGAAUAUUGUCCAAAAAGGAAACAACAUCCUCACCCACGGCUGUCAUUCGCAUUAAAAAGUUAGAAGAAAAUGAUAGCAUGCACUCUUCAUCAUCCGAACAGGAAUGGCAAUCCAAAUCCAGAAAACCAACAGCUAAGUUUAAAAUCAGAAAAACGGAAGAGUAUCAUUC